UUAACUCAACUUUGUAUGGAGCUAGAAUGUUUGCCUACGUUUUCCGUUAGGGGCGCUAUUCCAGCUGCAUACAAAUUUGAGUUA
rfam:Bombyx mori DNA, contig: Bm_scaf49_contig25923, strain: p50T/Dazao, build 2, whole genome shotgun sequence.